rnacentral:rRNA from 1 species
UACGUAGGGUGCGAGCGUUAAUCGGAAUUACUGGGCGUAAAGCGUGCGCAGGCGGUUUUAUAAGCCCGAUGUGAAAGCCCCGGGCUCAACCUGGGAAUGGCAUUUGGGACUGUAAGGCUGGAGUAUGGCAGAGGAGACUAGAAUUCCUGGUGUAGCAGUGAAAUGCGUAGAUAUCAGGAGGAAUACCGAUGGCGAAGGCAGGUCUCUGGGCCAAUACUGACGCUCAUGCACGAAAGCGUGGGGAGCAAACAGG